GAUCAAUGAUGAAAAUUAGCCAAAUCUGAGAGCUGGGAGUCAUGUCUGCCACCCUUGAUUAUUCAAGAGA
rnacentral:snoRNA from 1 species